GUCUUCAAACAUGACAAAUAAUAUAUGUGGAUGUUGCCAACCAAGAACACUACCAUCUCCAGCAAGAAUCACAGCAAAAGGGAUUAAACUCUAGAAGAUACAAGGCCACAAACUUUCCCAAAACCAUCAGUUCUCAGGGACUUAGUGAAAAUUUCUGCACCUGAGUUUCUGUUUCUGUUCUGAAGCCUUUUGACAGCAAUCAAAACACAAGCUACUGGACUCCAAAUGACUUGAAAAUUGACAGGAAGCUUCACAAACAUACCAGGUUCAAAGCACUAGCACUUAACUAAGUCCAGUUCUCAACAUACUGACCUGCACAACCUUAUCUACAGGGGAAGAAAAUGUUUUCAGCAUUCCAGACUUAGUGAAAUUUUCAGGGUUCAAAAAUCUGGAAUUUUCCAACCACAUGCCCACUUUGUCUAGGCAUAGUUUGCACACACAAGUUCCCAAGAGGUGUUUGACACCACUAUGGUAUUGAGCACAAACCCCUACAACUAACACACCAAGAUCCAUGCUUUUGGGCUCCAUCUAUAUCAUGGAAACAAAGCCCAAACUUACAACAACAUAAAAAUGCAAAUCCAUAUGGUAUUCUUCUAAGAUGACAAUACAUAGGAGGGUUUCAUGUGCACAAUGACAAAGUGACAUGGGGGUUUGAACCCCAUGUUUGUGUCAUACACACCAACAACCCCAACACACAUGAGCCAACCCCACACACACAAUAUGCCCUCUCUCAUAUGAAACAUGAGGAGGUGCACCACUUGUAAAGGUGGGGAGGUCCACACCACCCACAUAUCUAGCAUGACACAAAUCUAGUCCUACUAGAACUAGUUAGAGCAUACAAUAGCUACACUCCCUAAAUGAAUCCNUAAACGCAAACUUUGAACAAAAUGUCAAAACUACGCAAUCUGCCAGUUUCUGCAUCUUAGCUGUUUGAGAGCAACAUGCAACAUAGCUACAGGUCUUCAAACAUGACAAAUAAUAUAUGUGGAUGUUGCCAACCAAGAACACUACCAUCUCCAGCAAGAAUCACAGCAAAAGGGAUUAAACUCUAGAAGAUACAAGGCCACAAACUUUCCCAAAACCAUCAGUUCUCAGGGACUUAGUGAAAAUUUCUGCACCUGAGUUUCUGUUUCUGUUCUGAAGCCUUUUGACAGCAAUCAAAACACAAGCUACUGGACUCCAAAUGACUUGAAAAUUGACAGGAAGCUGCACAAACAUACCAGGUUCAAAGCACUAGCACUGAACUAAGUCCAGUUCUCAACAUACUGACCUGCACAACCUUAUCUACAAGGGAAGAAAAUGUUUUCAGCAUUCCAGACUUAGUGAAAUUUUCAGGGUUCAAAAAUCUG
rnacentral:lncRNA from 1 species